rnacentral:rRNA from 1 species
UACAGAGGUCUCAAGCGUUGUUCGGAAUUACUGGGCGUAAAGGGUGCGCAGGCCGCGCGGGCGGUCAAAUGUGUAAUUCAGGGGCUCAACCCCUGCACUGCGCUUGAUACUUCCGCGCUCGAACCUUGGAGAGGAGUCUGGAAUUCUCGGUGUAGCAGUGAAAUGCGUGGAUAUCGAGAAGAACACUUAGGGCGAAAGCAAGACUCUGGACAAGUGUUGACGCUCAUGCACGAAGGCUAGGGUAGCGAACGGG